UACAGAGGUCCCAAGCGUUGUUCGGAUUCACUGGGCGUAAAGGGUGCGUAGGUGGCUUGGUAAGUUUGAUGUGAAAUCUCCGGGCUUAACCCGGAAAUGGCAUUGAAUACUUUUGAGCUGGAGGUUUGGAGGGGGGACUGGAAUUCUCGGUGUAGCAGUGAAAUGCGUAGAUAUCGAGAGGAACACCAGUGGCGAAGGCGAGUCCCUGGACAACACCUGACACUGAGGCACGAAAGCUAGGGGAGCAAACAGG
rnacentral:rRNA from 1 species